GCACGGGUGAGUAACGCGUGGGAACCUGCCCUGAGGUUCGGAAUAACGAUUGGAAACGAUCGCUAAUACCGGAUAAGCCCUGAGGGGGAAAGAUUUAUCGCCUUGGGAGGGGCCCGCGUCCGAUUAGCUUGUUGGUGUGGUAACGGCGCACCAAGGCUUCGAUCGGUAGCUGGUCUGAGAGGAUGAUCAGCCACACUGGGACUGAGACACGGCCCAGACUCCUACGGGAGGCAGCAGUGGGGAAUAUUGGACAAUGGGGGCAACCCUGAUCCAGCAAUGCCGCGUGUGUGAAGAAGGCCUUAGGGUUGUAAAGCACUUUCAGUCGUGACGAUGAUGACGGUAACGACAGAAGAAGCCCCGGCUAACUCCGUGCCAGCAGCCGCGGUAAUACGGAGGGGGCAAGCCGUUGUUCGGAAUUACUGGGCGUAAAGGGCGCGUAGGCGGCCAAGUCAGUCAGGCGUGAAAAGCCCAGGGCUCAACCCUGGAAUUGCGCUUGAUACUGCUUGGCUCGAGACCGGAAGAGGGUAGUGGAAUUCCCAGUGUAAAGGUGAAAUUCGUAGAUAUUGGGGAAGAAACACCAGUGGCGAAAGGCGGCUACCUGGUCCGGGAUCUGACGCUGAGGCGCGAAAGCCGUUGGGGAGUCAAACCAGGAUUAGAUACCCCUGGUAGUCCCACGCCCGUAAACGAAUGAAAUGCUAGACGUUCGGGAAACCUGUUUUCUCGGUGUCGUCGCUUAA
rnacentral:rRNA from 1 species